rnacentral:misc_RNA from 1 species
AACGCACCUUGCGCCCUUUGGCUAUUCCAGAGGGCAUGCCUGUUUGAGUAUCAUGAACACCUCAACUCUCACGGUUUGCCGUGAUGAGCUUGGACUUUGGAGGUCUUGCCGGCCUGUGGUUGGCUCCUCUCAAAUGAAUCAGCUUGCCAGUGUUUGGUGGCAUCCCAGGUGUGAUAACUAUCUACGCUUGUGGCUUUCCACCAGGUAACCUUCAGCGAUGGAGGUUCGCUGGGGCUCACAAAUGUCUCUCCUAAGUGAGGACGGCUUCUUGAAUGUUUGAUCUCAAAUCAGGUAGGGCUACCCGCUGAACUUAA